AAACAAAAAGUCAAUAAGGCUCCUUGAUCCUCCCAACAUGGAAUGUAGAGACCUCUAUAAGAAAAACUCAAGGUUUGAACCAGUGCUCUCUAAUAGUAUAAACAAAGCAGCGUCCUCAAAAACUCUGUUGUUCCUUUCCUUUCGUAUCAUCCACACAAUAGCCAAUGGGAUGAGGGACACGAGCUUCGUCCUCUCCUUGUUGAUGGGAAUGCCACCCAGGCCCAGAAUUCAUCUGACACCAAUCUGCUGUCCAGCCGAAAAAAUAUAGAAAAGGUUGCAAACGGAAUCCCAUAUACUCAGGUUACAAGAGUAAAUUAUUAGGGGAUUCAUUCUCCUGAAUGCACAAUUAGCAAACACUGACAAUGAUUCUCCCUUGUUUUCUUAGAUUGGCAACAGUGAAGAUUUUGCCCUAGGCAGCCUCCCUAGAGAAGAAGGCAAUACAAGUGAUGCCUUCUUCUUCUAGAUCCGCUUUCAAGGAAAUCUAAGAGCUAAAUUUGACUGGCCAAGAAGAUUGUGGUAGAAGGACUUGACAAAGAAGACGGCAUUUUUUGCAAUAUGCUAGAGGGUUUGCUGGACAUGCUCAGAUUGAUCUUAUUACGACUAAACAGCAUGUACACCUAGAUUAGAUGAUAUACUAAGUUCUUCACAACUGUGCAGAUCGUCCAGCAACCAACAGACAACACUUACAAAAGUAUAAAGCUUAAGAAAAGUGCAGUACGCAAACAUAAUUGAGUAUUAGAAAAUGAAUAUCUUACCAACAUCAGUCUCCAAUGUUGCACUAUUCAAGUCAGAAACAAGCUUAGUGAUGGAGUCCUUAGUGCCAUUCUAGACAAGAAUACACA
rnacentral:lncRNA from 1 species